GACGAACGCUGGCGGCGUGCUUAACACAUGCAAGUCGAGCGGUAAGGCCCUUUCGGGGGUACACGAGCGGCGAACGGGUGAGUAACACGUGGGUGACCUGCCCUUAGCUCUGGGAUAAGCCUGGGAAACUGGGUCUAAUACCGGAUAUGACUCCAUGACGCAUGUUGUGGGGUGGAAAGCCUUGUGCGGCUAGGGAUGGGCCCGCGGCCUAUCAGCUUGUUGGUGGGGUGAUGGCCCACCAAGGCGACGACGGGUAGCCGGCCCGAGAGGGCGACCGGCCACACUGGGACUGAGACACGGCCCAGACUCCUACGGGAGGCAGCAGUGGGGAAUCUUGCGCAAUGGGCGAAAGCCUGACGCAGCGACGCCGCGUGA
rnacentral:rRNA from 1 species